rnacentral:sRNA from 1 species
AUAAAGAAAAGGUUUUG